rnacentral:rRNA from 1 species
GGAUGAACGCUGGCGGCGUGCCUAAUACAUGCAAGUCGAGCGAACGGACGAGAAGCUUGCUUCUCUGAUGUUAGCGGCGGACGGGUGAGUAACACGUGGAUAACCUACCUAUAAGACUGGGAUAACUUCGGGAAACCGGAGCUAAUACCGGAUAAUAUUUUGAACCGCAUGGUUCAAAAGUGAAAGACGGUCUUGCUGUCACUUAUAGAUGGAUCCGCGCUGCAUUAGCUAGUUGGUAAGGUAACGGCUUACCAAGGCAACGAUGCAUAGCCGACCUGAGAGGGUGAUAGGCCAAACUGGAACUGAGACACGGUCCAGACUCCUAAGGGAGGCAGCAGUAGGGAAUCUUCCGCAAUGGGCGAAAGCCUGACGGAGCAACGCCGCGUGAGUGAUGAAGGUCUUCGGAUCGUAAAACUCUGUUAUUAGGGAAGAACAUAUGUGUAAGUAACUGUGCACAUCUUGACGGUACCUAAUCAGAAAGCCACGGCUAGCUACGUG